rnacentral:rRNA from 1 species
UACGAAGGGUGCAAGCGUUAAUCGGAAUUACUGGGCGUAAAGCGUGCGUAGGUGGUCUUUUAAGUCCGUUGUGAAAGCCCUGGGCUCAACCUGGGAAUGGCAGUGGAUACUGGAAGGCUGGAGUGCGGUAGAGGAGGGUGGAAUUCCCGGUGUAGCGGUGAAAUGCGUAGAGAUCGGGAGGAACAUCAGUGGCGAAGGCGGCCCUCUGGACCAGCACUGACGCUGAGGCACGAAAGCAUGGGGAGCAAACAGG